rnacentral:rRNA from 1 species
AUCUUAGGUAAAUCCGGGGUUUCAAGGCCGAGAGCUGAUGACGAGUCGUCUUUUAGAUGACGAAGUGGUUGAUGCCAUGCUUCCAAGAAAAGCUUCUAAGCUUCAGGUAACCAGGAACCGUACCCCAAACCGACACAGGUGGUCGGGUAGAGAAUACCAAGGCGCUUGAGAGAACUCGGGUGAAGGAACUAGGCAAAAUGGCACCGUAACUUCGGGAGAAGGUGCGCCGGCUAGGGUGAAGGAUUUACUCCGUAAGCUCUGGCUGGUCGAAGAUACCAGGCCGCUGCGACUGUUUAUUAAAAACACAGCACCCUGCAAACACGAAAGUGGACGUAUAGGGUGUGACGCCUGCCCGGUGCCGGAAGGUUAAUUGAUGGGGUUAGCGCAAGCGAAGCUCUUGAUCGAAGCCCCGGUAAACGGCGGCCGUAACAAUAACGGUCCUAAGGUAGCGAAAUUCCUUGUCGGGUAAGUUCCGACCUGCACGAAUGGCGUAGCGAUGGCGGCGCUGUCUCCACCCGAGACUCAGUGAAAUUGAAAUCGCUGUGAAGAUGCAGUGUAUCCGCGGCUAGACGGAAAGACCCCGUGAACCUUUACUGUAGCUUUGCACUGGACUUUGAGCCUGCUUGUGUAGGAUAGGUGGGAGGCUUUGAAGCGUGGACGCCAGUUCGCGUGGAGCCAUCCUUGAAAUACCACCCUGGCAUGCUUGAGGUUCUAACUCUGGUCCGUAAUCCGGAUCGAGGACAGUGUAUGGUGGGCAGUUUGACUGGGGCGGUCUCCUCCUAAAGAGUAACGGAGGAGUACGAAGGUGCGCUCAGACCGGUCGGAAAUCGGUCGCAGAGUAUAAAGGCAAAAGCGCGCUUGACUGCGAGACAGACACGUCGAGCAGGUACGAAAGUAGGUCUUAGUGAUCCGGUGGUUCUGUAUGGAAGGGCCAUCGCUCAACGGAUAAAAGGUACUCCGGGGAUAACAGGCUGAUACCGCCCAAGAGUUCAUAUCGACGGCGGUGUUUGGCACCUCGAUGUCGGCUCAUCACAUCCUGGGGCUGAAGCCGGUCCCAAGGGUAUGGCUGUUCGCCAUUUAAAGUGGUACGCGAGCUGGGUUUAGAACGUCGUGAGACAGUUCGGUCCCUAUCUGCCGUGGACGUUUGAGAUUUGAGAGGGGCUGCUCCUAGUACGAGAGGACCGGAGUGGACGAACCUCUGGUGUUCCGGUUGUCACGCCAGUGGCAUUGCCGGGUAGCUAUGUUCGGAAAAGAUAACCGCUGAAAGCAUCUAAGCGGGAAACUUGCCUCAAGAUGAGAUCUCACUGGGAACUUGAUUCCCCUGAAGGGCCGUCGAAGACUACGACGUUGAUAGGCUGGGUGUGUAAGCGUUGUGAGGCGUUGAGCUAACCAGUACUAAUUGCCCGUGAGGCUUGACU